GUGUACAACCAUUGUAUCUCGCCUAGAGAAGAACAUGUGCCAAGCAGAAGUAUUUGGUCUUUUUAAACUUUUAUUUUAGGUUUGGGGUACAUGUGAAGGUUUGCUACGCAGGUAAACACGUCAUGGGGGUUUGUUGUACAUAUUAUUUCAUCAUCUAGAUAUUAAGGCCAGUGCCCAACAGUUAUCUUUUCUGCUCCUCUCCCUCCUUCCACCCUCCCUCCAAGUAGACCCCAGUGUCUGUUGUUUCCUUCUCUGUGUUCAUAAGUUAUCUUUUAGCUCCCAUUUAUAAGCGAGAACAUGCGGUAUUUGGUUUUCUGUUCCUGCAUUAGUUUGCUAAGGAUGAUAGCCUCCAGCUCCAUCCAUGUUCCUGCAAAAGACAUGAUCUCAUUCUUUUUCACGGCUGCAUAAUAUUUCAUGGUGUAUACGUACCACAUUUUCUUUAUCCAAUCUGUCAUUGAUGGGCAUUUGGGUUGAUUCCAUGUCUUUGCUAUUGUGAAUAGUGCUGCAAUGAACAUCCACAUGCAUGUGUCUUUAUGGUAGAAUGCUUUAUAUUCCUGUGGGUAUAUACCCAGUAAUGGGAUUGCUGGGUCUAAUGGUAUAUCUGUUUUUAGCUCUUUGAUGAAUUGCCAUAUUGCCUUCCACAACGGUUGAACUGAUUUACACUCCCACCAACAGUUAUAAGUGAUCCCUUUUCUCUGCAACCUUGACAGCAUCUGCUAUUUUUUUAGUUUUUAGUAAUAGCCAUUCUGACUGGUGUUAGAUGGUAUCUCAUUUGUGGUUUUGAUUUGCAAUUCUCUAAUGAUCAGUGAUACUGAGCUUUUUUUAUAUGCUUUCUGGCCCCAUGUAUGUCUUCUUUUGAGAAAUGUCUGUUCAUGUCCUUUGUCCACCUUUUAAUAAGGUUGUUUUUCUCCUGUAAAUUUAAGUUCCUUAUAAAUGCUGCAUAUUAGACCUUUGUCAAAUGCAUAGUUUGCAAAAAUUUUCUCCCAUUCUGUGGGUUGUCUGUUUACUCUGUUGAUAGUUUCUUUUGCUGUAUGGAAGCUCUUAAGUUUAAUUAGAUCCCAUUUGUCAAUUUUUGCUUUUGUUGCAAUGGCUUUCGGUGUCCUUGUCAUCAAAUCUUUGCCCAUUCCUAGGUCCAGGAUGAUACUGCCUAGUUGUCUUUCAGGGAUUUUGUAGUUUUGGGUUUUACAUUUGUCUUUAAUCCACCUUGAGUUGAUUUUUCUACAUGGUGUAAAGAAGGGGUCCACCUUCAAUUUUCUGCAUAUGGCUAGCCAGUUAUCCCAGCAGCAUUUAUUGAAUAGCGAGUCUUUUCCCCACUGCUUCGUUUUGUUAGUUUUGUCAAAGAUCAGAUGGUUGUAGAUGUGCGGCCUUAUUUCUAGCUCUCUACUCUGUUCCAUUGUUCAAUGUGCCUGUUUUUGUACCAGUAUCAUGCUGUUUGGUUACUGUAGCCUUGUAGUAUAGUUUGAAGUAGGGUAAUGUGAUGCCUCUCCAGCUUUGUUCUUUUUGCUUAGGACUGCCUUGGCUAUUUUUGGUUCCAUAUAAAUUUUAAAGUAGUUUUUUCUAGUUCUGUGAAGAAUGUCAUUGGUAGUUUGAUAGGAAUAGCAUUGAAUCUGUACAUUGCUUUGGGCACUAUAGCCAUUUUGAUGAUACUGAUUCUUCCUAUUCAUGAGCAUGGGGUGUUUUUCCAUUUGUUUGUGUCUUCUCUGAUUUCUUUGAACAGUAUUUUGUAAUUCUCAUUGCAUAUAUCUUUCACCUCCCUGGUUAGCUGUAUUUCUAGGGUGUGUGUGUGUGGGAGGGGGGAGGUGUGUGGCAAUUGUGAAUGAGAUUGCUUCUCUUAUCUGGCUCUCAGUCUGGCUACUGUUGGUGUAUAAGAAUGCUAGCCUUUUUUGUACACUAAUUUUUGUAUCCAGCAGCUUUGCUGAAGUUGUUUGUCAGCUGGAGUGUUUGGGCCCAGACUAUGGGGUUUCCUACAUAUAGAAUUAUGUUGUCUGCAAACAGUUUGACUUCCUCUCUUCCUAUUUGGAUGCCCUUUCUUUCUUUCUUUUGCCUAACUGCUCUGGCUAGGACUUCCAAUACUAUGUUGAAUAGAAGUGGUGAGAGAGGGCAGCCUUGCCUUGUGCCAGUUUUCAAGGGGAAUGCUUCCAGCUUUCACUUUUUCAGUAUAAUGUUGGUUGUGGGUUUGUCAUAGAUGGCUCUAUUAUAUUGAGGUGUGUUCCUUCAAUACCUAGGUUACUGAGAGUUUUUAACAUGGAGGGGUGUUGAAUUUUAUCGAAGGCCUUUUCUGCAUGUAUUGAAAUAAUCAUGUGGUUUUUUGUCUUUAGUUCUGUUCAUGUGAUGACUCACAUUUGUUGAUAUUUGCAUGUUGAACCAACCUUGCAUCCUGGGGAUGAAGCCUACUUGGUCAUGGUGGAUUAGCUUUUUGAUGUGCUGCUGGAUUUGGUUUGCAAGUAUUCUGCUGAGGAUUUUUGCAUUGAUGUUCAUCAAGGAUAGUGGCCUGAAGUUUUUUGUCGUUGUGUCUCUGCCCAUUUUUGAUAUCAAGAUGAUGCUGGCCUCACAUAAUAAGUUGGGGAGGAGUCUUUCCUCCUCAAUUUUUAUGAAUAAUAUCUGUAGGAAUGCUACCAACAUUUCUUUGUAUAUCUGGUAGAAUUCUGCUGUGAAUCCAUCAGGUCCUGGGCUUUUUUUGGUGGGUAGGCUAUUUAUUACUGAUUUAAUUUUGGAGCUUGCUACUGGUCUGUUUAGGGAAUCAAUUUCUUCCUGGCUCAGUCUUGGGAGGGUGUAUGUGUCCAAGAAUUUAUCCACCUCUUGUAGGUUUUCUAGUUUGUGUGUGUAGAGGUGUUCAUAAUAGUUUCUGAUGGUUGUUUUUAUUUCUGUGGAGUCAGUAGUAACAUUUCCGUUGUAACUUCUAACUGUGUUUAUUUGAUUUCUGCCGGGGUAUAAAACAAUGAUGUGAGCGUUCCACAGGUUUUUUUUUUUUUUUUUCAAGUUGGGUCCCAGCUGUAUCAUCCAGGGUGGCCCCAGCCUCCCUACUAGCUGGGACUACAGGCAUGAGCCACUGCCCCCAGCUCCACAGUCUUAUACUUCACUGUACAAUUAUACAUAAGUAUAAAUACAGACUAUUUUUAAAAUGCUAGUGUAGAACAACCACCUUCUUAGUUGAUGGAGAUUUGUAUGAAGUACACAUAUACUCAGAAAUAGUUCUAUUCUGAGAGCUACAAAGAAGUUAACCUGAUAGUAAUCUCCAGUGGAUUAACUAUUGCUCUAUGCCGCAAUGGAAUAUGGGUUUUUGUUGUUGUUGUUGUCUGUCUCGAAAAAUAUAUAUAAUAAUAAUAACUACAAAUAUUUGUCAAAAUGAUUUUAGACUAUCUGGGCAAUCUGUUUAACACAAUGAAAAUCACUGGUUUAAAACGGAUCAGAUGCACAUGUAACAAAUAAAACCAUACAAGGAUUUGAAGAAAACAUGACAAAAAAUCCAAGAGCAACAAGAACGACAAACGUGACUUUAUUAAAAUUUUUCUGAAUGACAAAACAUUGGGGAAAAUAUUUGCAAUUUAUGUUAGAGAAAUAAUAUCCCUAGUCUAUAAAGAGGUCCAAAAAUUAAGAAGGACCAACUAUCAAUUUUUUUAAAGAUGAAAAGAAAUAUAAAUUAACACGAAUUGAAAUACAAUUUCUCAUCUAUCUCACUGACAAAAAUCCAAGUUCAAUACACUGUGAAAAAGGCCAUAAAGUACUCUCACACAUUACUGUUUGUAUCAACUUUCUAUUGCUGCUGUAACAGAUUACCACAAACCCAGUGGCUUAAAAUGGGCCCCCAACCCCUGGGCAGUUCAUGGCCUGUUAGGAAACCAGGCUGCAUAGCAGGAAGUGAGCAGCGAGUGAGUGAACAUUAUCACCUGAGCUCUGCCUCCAGUCAGAUCAGCAGCAGCAUUAGAUUCUCAUGGGAGCACAAACCCUAUUGUGAAUUGUACAUGUGAAGAAUUUAGGUUGUGCACUCCUUAUGAGAAUCUAAUGCCUAAGGAUCUAAGGUGGAAGAGUUUCAUCCCAAAACCAUCCCCCUACUGCUGGUCUGUGGAAAAACUGUCUUCCAUGAAACCAGCCCCUGGUGCUAAAAAGGUUGGCGAUGGUUGGCUUAAAAUAGGACAAAUUUACUGUUUUAUAGUUCAGAAAGAAAGAAGUGCAAUAUAGGUCUUACAAGACCAAAACUAGGGUGCUGUGUUGGCAGGGCUGUGUUCCUACCUGAAGGCUCUGGGGGAAAAUCCAUUUCCUUGCCACUUCCACUUCUAGAGAUCACCCACAUUUUCCGGCUUAUGACCCUGUUCCUCCACCUUUAAAGUCAGCCAGAGCCCUUCUAAUGUUGCUGUCUUUCUGGUUCUCUCCCUUCAGCUUCCUUCUUUCACUUUUAUAAACCCUUGUUAUUACUUCGGUCCCAACUGGAUGAUCCAGAAUUCUCUCUCCACCUCAAGGUCAACUGAUUAGCAGCAUGAACUCCAUCUGCAACUUUCUCCUUUGCCAAGUAACCUAACAAUUUCAAACGUUCUAGGGAUUGGGACAUGAACAUCACUGGGGGACUGUCAUUGCUACCACACUGUUGAAAACACAAAAUGGUACAUCUCCUGUGGAGAGGAAUUUGGCUACAUCUAGCAAAAAUGCCUACUUAGUUACUCUUUGACCUAGUAAUUCGCUUCUAGGAAUCUAUUCCAAAGAUAAAAUGGCAAACAACAACAACAAGAAACAGACUUCUACAAAACAGACAUUGUUGCAUCAUUUGUAACAGCAAAAGACUGAAAAUAGUACCAUGUUCAUUCAGAGAACAUUGAUUGAAGGACUGCAACUAUGCAGUUGUUAAAAAAAAAAAACAGCUCUCUACAUAUUGAUAUACGAUGAUCUCUUGGUCAAAAUAUCAAGUAAAAAAAGAUGAACAGUUUUUAAUGCUACCUUUUGCACAAGAAGUGAGAAAUGGAGACAUCUGAUAGACACAUGUACGCACAAUUUGAUAUUUUCAAAAAGAAAAGAGACAAAGCAAAAACUAAAGGGGAGGGAGGAAAUGGAAGAAGGGGCAAGGAUGGAAGCAAGAAUGUACUGUUUUAAACUUUUGAUUUUGGAACUACAAAAUCUUUUACAUAAUUUCUUAAAAAUUAAAUUUUUAGCAAUUCUUAAAAACUGUAAAUACACUGAAACAAAUGAACACAAUAAAUAUCAAAUUAGUGGCAUAAACAUUUAGAGAAAAGAACUACUACAGAGUAUUUUCACUGUUACCACAAUAUAUUGAGGGCAAAAAGAACCACAAUUGCAUUCAAUAUCUUAUUAAUUGCAAAAUUAUUUUUAAACUAUUGUAAGUAUAUAUAAGAAAAAGUUUAAUUAUGUAAUUGUCAGCAGGAAUGAGGAUUUUCUUUUCUUUUUUUUGAGACAUGUCUCUUUCUGUUACCUAGGCUAGAGUGCAGUGUCAUGAUCACAGCUCCCUGCAGCCUCAACCUCCCAGAGCUAAAGCAAUCCUCCAACCUCAGCCUCCUGACUAGGAGGGACUACAGGUGCAUGCCACAAGACCCAGCUAAUUUUUUUUUUUUUUUUUGUAGAGACAGGGUUUCACCACGUUGCCCAAGCUGGUCCCGAACUCCUGGGCUCAGGCAAUCCACCUGCCUCAGCCUCCGAAAGUGCUGGGAUUACAGAAAUGAGCCAUGUGCCUGGCCUAGGAAUGAGGAUUUUCAACAAAACCGAGAAAUGAUACAUUUAUAAAAAUCCAAAAAGUUAAAUAAAAACCCUGUGAUGUUAAUUGUACUGGAAAUGUCAGUAUGAAUUCUAUUUUUUAUAAAAACAAAGAUUCCCUAGUUCUUUGUACUGUAAAAACCUAAAAGCAAUGAAAUCCAGUAGCAUUGUGCACCCUAAGCACAAAAUAACAUUUCUCACUAUAAGAAAUUAGAGACUCCUUAGAGAUGUGGCUGAUUCCAAGUUUAGCACUGAAAGUGUAUAGUGAGUCCAGAAAAUCCAAAAAACACAUAAGCUAUCAAAGACUUAUGAUGUCUUGUCAAAAAGACACAACAGCCAACCUCAAGAGCACUCACUGUUCAAAAGAUUGGAAAUCCAAGUUUCAGAAAACGUAACAGAAACAACUCAAAUGUCCAGUAACAGAUGGAGGUAUAAACAAAUAUGGUAUAUGCAUAAAACAGAAUACUAUUCAGCCAGAAAAACAAACUAUUGAUAUACACCACAUGACUGAAUCUCAGAAGCACUAUGUUGAGUAAAAGAAGCCAUGUAAAAGGAAUACAUAAUGUAUUUAAAUAAAAUUUUAGAAAAUAUAAGUUCUAGAUAGGUGGCGACAGGGAUGUAUUAAAAAGGGGCACAAAAAAACUCCUGAGGGUGAUGGAAAUGUUUAUCUUGAUUGUGGUGGUUUACUGCACUUCAGUUAUACCCCAAUAAGAUUAAAAAAAAAAAGAAGAAGAAAUAAGUGCAAAGGAGUAAAUAUAUAAAAAUCCACUCAUUUACCCAGAAACGAAACAUAAUCAUACACCCAUGUUGGUCACCAUUGAAACUUCCUUAGGGCACAACUCAUUUCCUUAAAAAUUGUUAAAGGAUCAAGCAUUUAUCCUGCCUUUUCUUUAUGAACUGUAUUUCAAGGUAAACAAACAGCUGAUGAGACAAUGCCUUUUUUAAUAGGUGGAUUCCAGGUAAUAAAUGCAGAGAGAAAUGAUAAAAACAGAAAAUCGCCACUGUGCAAGUACUAGUGAAGUAAUGGACCUGGGCAAUUAUCACUAGGUGCUAAAGCCGUCAUGUGAAAGGUUGAUGAGGAAUCAGGGUGAUACUAUUUUCGCCAACUUGUCAAUCUUAGAACAGUAGAAUAUUCAGACAUUAUGAUGUAAUGAAAUAGGAAGUAAACUGAACCUGAAUCUAAUCAAGCCACUAGAUCAGAGCAGUCCAGUAUAUAUACAUACAUAUACAAGCUACAAGCUGCAUAUGUAAUUUAAAAUUUUCUAAUAACCACAUUUAAAAAGGUAAAAAGAAACUGUUGAAAUAAAUUUUAAUAUCUUUCAUUGAACCCAAUAUAUGCAAAAUACUAUCAUUUCAAUUAUAACCAAAUUAAAAUUAAGGAGAUAUUUUACAAUUUUCAUAUUAACGUUUCCAAUUCUGGUGUGAAUUUUACACUCACCGAACAUCUCAAUUCUGACAAGUCAUAUUUUAAGUGCUCAACAGCUACGUGAGGAUAGUGGCUAUUAUGUCACAAAAUGCAGCUCUAGGGAUGAGGACAGUUUACAGAAGAUACUUGAGGAUACAGGAGCAAGUUAAAUGGCAGUUUAAGAAAGCAAAUCCAGGAUGUGGGAAACUCCACAGAAUAGAUGACCUGGUUUCUCCCUUCACUCAUCCCUCCAAAAUAGAAAUCAAUGGCAGAAAGAAAAAAGAGGGAGGCUGUUGUAGCAUAAAAUACUUAAGGGACAUAACAAUAAAAACAGUGUAGGGUUUUGUUUGAAUCCUGAUUCAACUACCAAUGAUCAAAAAACAUCCGAGACAACUGGGGACAUCUCACUGCAGAUUCAGUAUUUAACGAUAUUAAGGAAUUAUUGUUAGUUUUGUUGGAUGACAUAAAUACUGAAAUAUUUAGGGAGAAAAAACAACUUGCAUUUGAUUAAAAAAAAAAGAUGUAGGAAUAGACUGAUCAUGACUUGAUAUUGGUGAAGCUGAGUUAUGAGUACAUGAAGCUCUUCAUACUGUUUUAUAUAUAAAAUACAUAGUUUGACAAUUCUCAUAAAGUUUUUUUAAAAAGUACUCACUGGCUGUGCACAGUGGCUCACAUCUGGAAUCCCAACACUUUCAGAGGCCAAGGUGGGAGGACUGCUUGAGGCCAGGAGUUUGAAACCAGCCUGGGCAACAUACUAUGAGACACCCGUCUCUACAAAACAUUUUUAAAAUUAGCCCGAUAUGGUGGUGUGUACCUGUACUUCUAGCUAUUCAGGAGGCUGAGGUGGGAGGAAUGCUUGAGGCCAGGAGUUCGAGGUUACCAUAAGCUGCUAAGCACCAGUGCACUCCAGCCUGGGUGAGAAAAUGAGACCCCAUCUCUAAAAGGUAAAGAAACUAUUUUUUUAAAAAGCAUCCACUUGAUCUAGAAUACUAAAUAAAGGGCAAGUUCCUCUGAAGUUCCAUGAUUUGCCCUCCUAUGUUACACAGAUCAGAUGAGAAUCACACUAUGCAUAAUGUUAGUAUGGCCACUGCAAUCAGGCAAAUAGGAUUUUUUCUCUUUUUUUUUUUGAGAUGGAGUCAAGCUCUGUCGCCCAGGCUGGAGUGCAGUGGCACAGUCUCGGCUCACUGCAACCUCCACCUCCCAGGUUCAAGCCAUUCUCUUGUCUCAGCCUCCCAACUAGCUGGGAUUACAGGCGCCUGCCACCAGGCAUGGCUAAAUUUUGUAUUUUUAGUAGAGAUGGGGUUUCGCCAUGUUGGUGAAGCUGGUCUCGAACUCUUGACCUCAGGUGAUCUGCCAGCCUCCGCCUCCCAAAGUGGGAUUAGAGGCGUGAGCCACCACGCCCGGCCAGGAUUUUUUUCUUAAAAAUAUCUAGAAGACCUUGCUAGAAGUGUUGGUAGUAAACAAAACCCUUUAAGCUACUAACGUUCUCCUGUGUUUUCUUAUUUCCUUUCUCUAAUAUUCAUUUCCUAAUAUAAUGAAAUGUAAAUUAGAUUUUUAUUUCCUCUUUUCACUUUGGAAGGCUGUCAAACAGCUUACCCCAACUAACCUGCAAAUAAAACUCAUUUUAUCCUAGCAAAUUUGAGGUAAAGUAUAUACUAACAUGGUAAAUUAUACAUGUAUUGUCUUCAUAAUAUCAUAGUUGCCCAUUCAAACACUCUAGCAACUAUUACUUCCUGUCUUGAAAGAAAUAAAAAUAAUUGGUCCUCCUUUCUUAUUUUCUCUGAAAAGCUUCCCCAAACUCUCCCAAUCCAACUUAAUGCGAGUAGACUAUUUUUCCACUUUGUUCCACUCAUUUCGCACUCCUGAUAGAAUUUUCUCUUAUCCCUCUAAUCUCUUAUUUAGGCUUAUGUACCCUCUCCAGAAGUUCUGUGUUGUGUCACUUACUUCCCCACAGAGAUCUCUAUCUCAAGGAGACCAAUUCAAAUGAUAUUCAAAUAUAUACCUCCAGUCCUGGUCUCUCUCCAAAACCCUAUUAAAACUACCCAGUGGACAUUUUCCUACAGACAUACUAGCAUCCCUUCACAUUGUCUCAAGCCAAAUUAAUGUUAUCACUAUAUCAAAACCUCUGAACGUCCCUGUUUUUUUCACCCUGACAUGCAAAUUAAACAUCUCUUUUGACUUCCUUUCCCUUGUUUUCCUUAAUUAAUGAAGGCCUGUCCAUUUUUUCCUUAACAUGUUCGUACCUUUCCAUUCCUCUGCCACUGCCUGAGUUGAGGUUCUUUUCAUCUUUACAACCAGAUAACUAACAUAAUUUCCUAAUUUACUUUCUCACUGUCUAUCUUCUUUCCCUAUACUAUUAUAGUACUCUGCCAACCACUGCCAAAUUAAUUUUCCUAAACUAUCAUUCUACUUAUCCAAUCACCUUGUUCAACAGGGUUUUAAAAAUGAAAUCAAAACUCCUCUGCUUGAUAUUCAAGGCCCCUCAUGUUCUCAAAUCAAUGUAUAUUCCCAGUCUUAUCUCUUGUAGUCCCUAAAUGAAACAGUUCCUCUUGCUCAAUUUAUGCUCCUAAAAACAAACAAACUUGGCACCAUUAACAACACAAUUUCCUUAACUCAGAAUAUUCUCUUGUAUAUAAAUAAGCCUUCCUGAAAGUCAGAAAUAGGAUCUCCCUUUCUUGAACUUUUAUAACACUUAAUUGUAUAUAUCAUUCAUUUUAAGUUAACGACCUCCUCACCUAUACUGUAACUCUUUAAUGGGUACCUGUUCUCUUUCCCUACACCGAAAAUUCCUUGAGAGCAAAAUCAUGUCUAAUUUAAUUUCAAGCAUCUAUUGGGUAUCUGGCCCCACAAUGCCAAGAGUAUAUUUUGUUGAUUGUUAAUUAAUCAUCUUACUUUAUUUAAUACAAGUAAUAGCUUUUCCUUGUUCUACUAUAAACAGAUCUGUACACUUUCUGGUGGCUGUAUGCACCAGUCUAAACAUAUGGGUAGGGUCCAGUAAUUUUUAAAUUUUUUCUCAAUAAACUCACGAUAGCUACCAUUUAUUAGUGAUAGCUAGCUAACCACUGUUAGGCACUUUACACGUGUAUCUCAUUGAAUCCUCAUAUCCACCAGUGGUAGGCACUAUUAUCUCCAUUUUACGGAAGAGAAAACUACUACAUCUUGGAGAUUAAAUGUCUCUCCCUUCUCAUGUGUUGUGCUGAUGCAGGAGACAACCGCGAAGAUGGGGACAGAAUCAGUAACAUCGACGUAAGGGAAUUGAAGCAGAAGAUCACGCUGCCUGCAGACACCAGGAAACGCCAAGACCCCCCUUCCACGAACCAACAUUCUUCCACCCUCUCCAACUUUUUUCUGGAACCCCUUCACUUCCAACGCCACUCAAUGUACACUUCACUUUCUCGUGCUCUUCCUAAGAGAGUAGUGUUUUCUUCCUCCCCACCGAGAAAAAAAAUAAAAGCAACAACUGGAACUUCUUCCUUA